UAUCAGAAGUGCGAAUGCUGACAUAAGUAACGAUAAAGCGGGUGAAAAGCCCGCUCGCCGGAAGACCAAGGGUUCCUGUCCAACGUUAAUCGGGGCAGGGUGAGUCGACCCCUAAGGCGAGGCCGAAAGGCGUAGUCGAUGGGAAACGGGUUAAUAUUCCCGUACUUGGUGUUACUGCGAAGGGGGGACGGAGAAGGCUAUGUUGGCCGGGCGACGGUUGUCCCGGUUUAAGCGUGUAGGUGUGUGUUCCAGGUAAAUCCGGUUCACUUUAACACUGAGGCGUGAUGACGAGGCACCACGGUGCUGAAGCAACAAAUGCCCUGCUUCCAGGAAAAGCCUCUAAGCAUCAGGUAACAUCAAAUCGUACCCCAAACCGACACAGGUGGUCAGGUAGAGAAUACCAAGGCGCUUGAGAGAACUCGGGUGAAGGAACUAGGCAAAAUGGUGCCGUAACUUCGGGAGAAGGCACGCUGACACGUAGGUGAAGUGAUUUACUCAUGGAGCUGAAGUCAGUCGAAGAUACCAGCUGGCUGCAACUGUUUAUUAAAAACACAGCACUGUGCAAACACGAAAGUGGACGUAUACGGUGUGACGCCUGCCCGGUGCCGGAAGGUUAAUUGAUGGGGUCAGCGCAAGCGAAGCUCCUGAUCGAAGCCCCGGUAAACGGCGGCCGUAACUAUAACGGUCCUAAGGUAGCGAAAUUCCUUGUCGGGUAAGUUCCGACCUGCACGAAUGGCGUAAUGAUGGCCAGGCUGUCUCCACCCGAGACUCAGUGAAAUUGAACUCGCUGUGAAGAUGCAGUGUACCCGCGGCAAGACGGAAAGACCCCGUGAACCUUUACUAUAGCUUGACACUGAACAUUGAGCCUUGAUGUGUAGGAUAGGUGGGAGGCUUUGAAGCGUGGACGCCAGUCUGCGUGGAGCCGACCUUGAAAUACCACCCUUUAAUGUUUGAUGUUCUAACGUGGACCCGUAAUCCGGGUUGCGGACAGUGUCUGGUGGGUAGUUUGACUGGGGCGGUCUCCUCCUAAAGAGUAACGGAGGAGCACGAAGGUUGGCUAAUCCUGGUCGGACAUCAGGAGGUUAGUGCAAUGGCAUAAGCCAGCUUGACUGCGAGCGUGACGGCGCGAGCAGGUGCGAAAGCAGGUCAUAGUGAUCCGGUGGUUCUGAAUGGAAGGGCCAUCGCUCAACGGAUAAAAGGUACUCCGGGGAUAACAGGCUGAUACCGCCCAAGAGUUCAUAUCGACGGCGGUGUUUGGCACCUCGAUGUCGGCUCAUCACAUCCUGGGGCUGAAGUAGGUCCCAAGGGUAUGGCUGUUCGCCAUUUAAAGUGGUACGCGAGCUGGGUUUAGAACGUCGUGAGACAGUUCGGUCCCUAUCUGCCGUGGGCGCUGGAAGACUGAGGGGGGCUGCUCCUAGUACGAGAGGACCGGAGUGGACGCAUCACUGGUGUUCGGGUUGUCAUGCCAAUGGCACUGCCCGGUAGCUAAAUGCGGAAAAGAUAAGUGCUGAAAGCAUCUAAGCACGAAACUUGCCCCGAGAUGAGUCUUCCCUGAGACUU
rnacentral:rRNA from 1 species